GGAUGGAGUGGGUUGACCUAGAAGACCCCACUGUCAUGCUGCUGGGGACAGCGGCUGCCAUUGAGGCUGCAGCCAAGAAGCUGGAGUAGCUGAAACCAAGGGCUAAACCCAAGCAAGAAGACAAGAGCCUGAACUUUGAGGAACAAAUCCUGGAAGCUGCCAAAUCCAUUGCUGCAGCUACAAGCACCCUGGUGAAGUCAGCCUCAGUGGCCCAGUGAGAAUUAGUGGCCCAAGGAAAGGCAUGCAUGGUAGCUGCUGCUACCAACAACCUGUGUGAAGCCACCAAUGCAGCAGUGCAGGGCCAUGCCAGCAAGGAGAAGCCAAGCAGGUGGCUGCCUCCACAUCACAGCUCCUGGUGGCCUGCAAGGUGAAGGCUGACCGUGACUCAGAGGCCAUGAACUGGCUCCAGGCUGCCGGCUAUGCAGUGAAGAGAGCAUCAGACAAUCUGGUGAAGGCAGCACAAAAAGUAGCUGCCUUCCAGGAUCAUGAUGAGACAGUGGUGGUGAAGGAGAAGAUGGUUGGGGGAAUUGCACAGGUGAGGAGUGGGGCCGCUCUCAAUGGAGCAGAGGUGGCUCUGGCUGUCUGCCACCACAGCCUAUGUGCUCCUGUCUCAGGAGCAUGUCCUACCACCCACUGGCACAGGGCACAUCUCUGUAGAGCCUCAAAAAAAUGGUGCAGAUGCAUCCUUCCCACCCAGUGUCAAUUCAGUGCUGUGGCUUUAUCCUUGUACUGCUGUGUGUAGCAGCAGGCACAGCCGGUGACCAUGCAUGCUCCCAGGAGCAUAAUGCCCUGGCUUCUCCUUGGCAUGGUGCCUUCACUAUCCUUGUGUCCAGGACACGUGAAGGGCAGAGCAUUUGGUAAGGGGUGAGAGCUGCCUGGUAUGGGCUGCCACAUAUCCCAGCACUGCCUCCCAGCCACGGGCUUGCAGCUGAGACCCUCCCCAGAGUGUGUGGGGCUGAGCCCCAGGAGCUCUGCUGCUCCCCAUUAUCUCUGGAGGACUGCAGUCCCACUGUAGGGAUAGUAGCCCUCAUGCCUGGGGCUAUGCCAGCCUAGGGAGACUGUGGCUGUGAUGGG
rnacentral:lncRNA from 1 species